rnacentral:tRNA from 1 species
GCCGGAAUAGCUCAGUUGGUAGAGCAGUUGCUUCGUAAGCAAUUGGUCAGGAGUUCGA